AUGGAUCACUCCACCUGGGCCAAGCUGUCGCGAUAUUGGAAUUGGUGUGCAAGGAGUGUUUGUUCGGUUCAAGAUUUUUCUUUGCUUCAGUCUCUACAUGAGAACGUGCCAUGCGAUGUUUUCUGGCCGCUUGCUCUCAAGCAGAGGCGGAUGUACUGGCAAUUUAAGUUGAACCUUCAAUGUUCUGUGGAAAUAUAUAUGUGCCAAUGCUUCUCCAAUGAUCAUAUUUCAGCAAUUCUUUUUGGGCAAGAGUACCAUAACUCGUUGCUACUAUGUCUUGCGGGAUGCAUUUGUGAUCUACUCCCUUUGUAA
rnacentral:rRNA from 1 species